ACGUAUUUUGCGGUCGUUACAGCUUAGCAACGGGGACUCGCUUCAUCGCAUGGUUCUACAUAGUAAGUAUAUGUACAGAGGUAUACACAACAAAUGUAUAUUUUUAUAAAGUAGUUUAGUUUACUAGUGCCACGUAUGUACAAUCUAACGUUAUGUGACCACCCGGCACGCACGAUUUUCUUGCUUAUAAUUCAUGUCAAGUAAAUACAGCUAGCAUGUUUGAUCAGAAAACAGCGUUUGGGAUAAUAGACUGGGGCUAUAGUUCAAAGGGUCGCUCUCUGCUGAUUCUUCAGGCAUAUCUCUGCAUAGCAUGGAGAAUCGAUCAGUGCAAAUAUAUCAUAUGUCAGCGCUAUCGAACUGCUUUGUUCUGUAAAACUUUAAAAUACUUUUUAUUUGUCCAAUUAAUAGAACAAGAUUGGUUAAAGAACAAAUCUGUUCAAUAGAGUUGUGGUAGUACUGAAUAUAGUGCAUUUUGCCCCAUUGACUAGAACAGUUAUCUCAGGAUAGCUGGAGAUUCAAAAUAAACGUGAAGGUAUAACUUGCAUGAUACUGAAUACUGCCAGUAUAACAGGCCUCUUUCACAAAGACUGACUCCGUGCUCUGUGAGACAUCUCAGUUCAUGUGACAUGUUGGUCAAAAACACGGUUCUACCAUGCUAUAGGAUUGCGAAAUACCGCGUAAAACCGCGUUUAAUUUAAUAAGAGCGUGAAACGCAUUAUAUUACUCCAUGAUAUCACACGUGCGUGGCCGGGUAAAAAGCCAAAUAAUUUUAUGUGAAAAAUUGAUAGAUUAGAUCAUAUAUAUUAUGAAGUCCAAUUAAAGUUCCUAGCCAAAGGAAGAAUCUUUGUUCACGUAAAUUUUGUUCACGCUUCGUCUUAACUCAGUUUUAAGCACUAUAUGUCGAACUAUAUUCCAUAGUAGACUAUAUACCCUGCAACCUUAUGGAUCAGCUGGUAGCCGUAGCAGGCGUCUAUUAGCCUGGCUAGCAAUUAGCGUAAUUACUAUAAAGCAUGGUGGCACUUUAACUGGCUAUAACAUACCCUAAACUUGUUUGAUAAGUAUUCCUGCAGGCAUAUGCAUGCAUCUAUUAAAAUUAAAAGCUCCAUCGCGGAUUAAACAUCUGUUUGUCCCGGCCAUUGUUUGAGGGAUGAACAUGACUAAACUAUGGAAUCGUUAAUUAAGAUUUAUGACCGAAUGCGCUUCACAUCAAAUAUUGCGUUAGUUAUAGCCUGGACUAUUUUGUCUUCUACAACAAUUGUGAUAUUACUUUCCUAACUGUGUUUAUUCUACCUGUCAACAUUCCCAGAUACCGGAAUACCCGGAGAAAAGCCACGACUUUUGGCAGAGCGUUGACCGACUCUUUUUCCCACAAGUUUUCUCUGAUGACUGCAUAUACAGUACAUGUAUCGUAGCACAAAUCGUAGUGUCAUGUAUCGUAGUAGUUCAUAUGCUGGUAUAUUAAUAAUAUUAUGAGCUUCAUGGUCAGGUGUGAGGUAUAUUCGAGGGGGGCAUUAAUCACAAUACUUAGGUCUGCUAAGAUUAGGAGAUCAUUAUAAGUGCAUUUACAAAAUGUCAACAACAACUGGCAUAUGACAUUCUCCUGUCAAAAUAUCAAAUCGAAAUCGAAACCCUUGGCCUUGCAAAAAGAGUCGAAAUUUUCAAAACUAAAUGUUAAACUCAACCUCAACAGACUAGACAAAUUCUUCAUUAUCAACCGGUAAAACAAUUACGUAUUUGCGUAUUUUGCGAGUAGUUAAAAAGGCGCGUACGACAGGAUAUACUAUAUUGUAAGGACUGAUGGAAUUCAAAUCGUUGACGGAAAUCAGAUUAAAACGUUUUUCCGGGAUUGGUUUAAAUUAUCCCCAAGGAUUAGUAUUGAAUGGUAAGCAAUAUUGUAGUUCUUGCAGUGAAAUUGAUAAUGAAAAAAGACUUCAAUACAACAACGUAAAAAGUAAAAACGCACAAGUUGUAACAAACCUGCAGCAGACUUGUAGCAAUGCCAAUGCUGUUCCAACAACUUUUGAACAGGAUGUCUUCGCACUGCUUGUUCCCAGCUUGCUGACAAGUUGUCAAUGGCUUGUUGAGAACUUGCUACAGGUUGUUGAGCUCAACAGACUUGUUACAAGUUGUUCCAACAACUUGUUAUCGUCCUGUAAUUAAACAAUUUGUCAACAAGUUGUGAGUGACAACCUUGUAGCAACUUGAUAAAAUAACAGCAUUGUUACAACUUGUUGACAAGCUUACUACAAGCCUGUUGCGAACACAUCUUGUUGCCAAGUUGUGAGAUUUUUACGCGUGUAGCCUGAAUACUAACUAAACGUAUUGUACCUAUGUUAAAGUUUUGAGCAUAAUUUCCGCCUGGAGAACAGUUUGAUGUACUAAAUGUACGCGUAUGACUUCCAUCAUUAGAAACCGCGUAUACUGAUCGUCAGCUGAACAAAAUUAUUAAUUAAAGACACUUCUCAUGUUCUACAACUUUCUGCUUUUCAGGUUUUGUAUUUGAUCAACAUUAUUUUAAACAUUACUGCUACGGAUAUCGUGAAAUCUUAUAAACAAAACGUGGACGAAGAUACAGAUUACGACAGUACGUACAAAUACCAACGAGUUGUAUUUGCUGCGAGGGACAAUUAGUGAGAUUUCCUAACUUUUGAUUACUAUUGAAUUUUAUUAGGAAACAAACUACUGACGUUUCAUUACAUUUGUCUUACUUUUGGAGUUGUCACAAUUUUGUUGUCAACGGCAUUUUUGGUGAAAUUUUCCGAAGUAAGUUGGAAGUAUGGUGCUUUGUGGGGUUGUUCCUAUGUAUCAUUAUCAUCACCAUAAUCACCUUUACUAUCACCAUUGCUGUUGUCAUGACUACCAUGACCACCACCAUCAUCAUCAUCACCAUAUCACAACCCCAUAUCACCACUACCAUUGUCACAUCACCGUCAUCACUAUCAUCAUCACCAUCAUCAUCAUCACCAUCAUCAUCAUCAUCAUCAUCAUCAUCAUCAUCAUCAUCAUCACCAUCAUCAUCAUCAUCAUCAUCAUCAUCAUCAUCAUCAUCAUCACCAUCACUUCAUUCAUCACCUCAUCACUACCAUGCCAGAUUUUCAUCAUCAUCAUCAUUCAUCAUCACUACUACCACAAUCUUUACAACCAUCACCGUUAUCACUACCAUCAUCAUCGUCAUUCAUCAUCACCACCAUCAUCAUCAUUCAUCAUCACCACCAUCAUCAUCACUACCACCAAUUGUAUCGCUUCUCGUGUAUUAAUGGAGAAACGCGUCCUUAGCCUGACAACUAACCACAUUGCUACUUCCUUCAUUUAAACCAGUCAGAAGACUUUGUAAACUUCAUGGUAAGAUGGAACAUUGUAAGAUGUUUCUUUGUCUUUGCUGCUAUUAUCUAUGUCGCCGUAGAAAUGAACCAUGUAAGUAAAGCAUC